rnacentral:rRNA from 1 species
CCGCGCUGUAAACGUUGUAUGCUGGACAUUGGUGAUAUACUGUCAGUGUCUGAGGGAAACCAUUAAGCAUACCACCUGGGGAGUACGCCGGCAACGGUGAAACUCAAAGGAAUUGACGGGGGCCCGCACAAGCGGAGGAACAUGUGGUUUAAUUCGAUGAUACGCGAGGAACCUUACCCGGGAUUGAAAUGUAGAUGCCGACAGAUGAAAGUUUGUUUUCCUUCGGGACAUCUAUGUAGGUGCUGCAUGGUUGU